GACGAACGCUGGCGGCGUGCUUAACACAUGCAAGUCGAACGGAAAGGCCCUGCUUUUGUGGGGUGCUCGAGUGGCGAACGGGUGAGUAACACGUGAGUAACCUGCCCUUGACUUUGGGAUAACUUCAGGAAACUGGGGCUAAUACCGGAUAGGAGCUCCUGCUGCAUGGUGGGGGUUGGAAAGUUUCGGCGGUUGGGGAUGGACUCGCGGCUUAUCAGCUUGUUGGUGGGGUAGUGGCUUACCAAGGCUUUGACGGGUAGCCGGCCUGAGAGGGUGACCGGCCACAAUGGGACUGAGAUACGGACCAGACUCCUACGGGAGGCAGCAGUGGGGAAUAUUGCACAGUGGGCGGAAGCCUGAUGCAGCAACGCCGCGUGCGGGAUGACGGCCUUCGGGUUGUAAACCGCUUUCGCCUGUGACGAAGCGUGAGUGACGGUAAUGGGUAAAGAAGCACCGGCUAACUACGUG
rnacentral:rRNA from 1 species